UCUUUGGUAGUAUAGUGGUAAGUACAUGUAUUCAUCAAGACUGAGCGCGGGCGACCGGGGUUCAAUUCCCCGCCAAAGAG